GUUUCAGACAAGUCACAGUAAGUUAGAAUAAUCUAUAUAUUAAUGGUUUAAAAUAAAACAUAUCAAUAUAACUCAAGUUUAGCUUAAGGAAGACUGGUCGGGUAUCCUGUAGGACAUCCUUCUAUUAGAAUUUAUCUGGUAUUUUUUUAAUGACAAGAGAAAAUGCUUAUGCAUUUGGGUGACACUGACCAAUAAAUUACCAUUCCAUUUUCAUCACAUUAUAACCGAUGUGUAUACUGUCACUCAGUGGUUGCUGCUUUCAUCAUCUUCCCUUCCCUGUGACAAAAGAAUUGAGAUAGAUAACUUAUAAGAGAAAAAGUGUACUUUGGUUCAUGGUUUGCAGAGUUUCAGUCUACUGUCACUUGGCCCUGCCCCUCUGGGCCUGUGGUGAGUUGGAACAUCAUGGUAGAGCAAAGCUGCUCACCUUAGGGUGAAAAGGAAGAAAUUUUGAAAAAUGAAUGAAUAAAAGGUGGCAGUGGGGCUCUGAUGCUGAUAUUUCCUUCAAGGCCAUACCCCCAGUGACAUGAGCUCUUCCCACUAGGCCUACCACCAUCCAAAAGAAACACAACCAACAUUUAGCAUAUGGGUCUUUGGGGGACAUUUAAGACUCAAACUUUAACAGGUAUGAGCUGUGACUAAUGAUUUCUUUUCAAAGAGUACAGACUGGAAAGGGAGGAAAAUAGAGCAAUUUUGUAGUGGAGGAACUUGAUGAACUUCAGGAAGAUGAUCAACAUUGAAAUCAAUAGUCAUGAGUCAGGUUGAGAGUAUAUGAACUUGAUAUAAUGUCAGGAAAAUGGCAUUUUACCUCAUUGGUCUCUUCUUUGCCAAAAUCCAUAACCAUUUUCUCUUAUCUUGUGAAAACUAUCAGACAAAUUUCGAUUGAGUGGUGUCCUAUGGAAUACCUGACUAGUUUUCAUAAAAAUGGUCAAUAUCAUCAAAAACAAGGAAAAGUCUGAGAAUUGCCACAGCCAUGAGAAGCCUAAGGAGACAAGACAUAACAAUGAAAUGUAAUGUGGAAUCCUGGAUGGGAGCCUGCAACAAAAUAAAAUAAAAUAAAAAUAUAAAAAAUAUAUUAGAGGUUUAAAAAAAGGAAUCUAAAUAAGGCUGGACUUUAAUUAAUAACAAUGAGUCAAUAUUUCUUCCUCAUCUAGAGUUCAUCUAUUCCUCCCAUGCUCCCCCUCCCUACCCCACUAUGAAUCAGUCAGAUAGGGCAGAGGGGUGGGAAGGGAAGGGAGGGGGCAGGGGGUUAGCAAUGAUGGUGGAAUUUGAUGGACAUCAUUAUCCAAGCACAUGUAUGAAGACAUGAAUUGGUGUGAACAUACUUUAUAUACAAACAGAGAUAUGAAAAAUUGUGCUCUAUAUGUGUAAUAAGAAUUGUAAUGCAUUUAGCUGUCAUGUAUUUAAAAAAUAAAAUCAAUUAAUAUGAAAAAUGUUUCUUCCUCAAUUGUAAUAAAAAAAGUACAUUACUAAUGCAAGAGGUUAAUCAGGCCAACUGAAUGUGGGACAAAUAAGAACUCUCUGGACCCCCUU
rnacentral:lncRNA from 1 species